rnacentral:rRNA from 1 species
UACGUAGGAUGCAAGCGUUGUCCGGAAUUAUUGGGCGUAAAGAGUUCGUAGGCGGUUGCCUAAGUCUGGUGUUAAAUACAGGAGCUCAACUCCUGCAUGGCACUGGAAACUGGGCGGCUAGAGUGUGGUAGAGGUCACGGGAAUUCCAGGUGUAGCGGUGAAAUGCGUAGAUAUCUGGAGGAACACCGGUGGCGAAGGCGGGUCUCUGGGCCGAUACUGACGCUGAGGAGCGAAAGCGUGGGGAGCGAACAGG